rnacentral:rRNA from 1 species
GACGAACGCUGGCGGCGUGCUUAACACAUGCAAGUCGAGCGAGGCCCCUCCUUCGGGAGGGUGUCCUAGCGGCGAACGGAUGAGUAACACGUGGGCAACCUGCCCUCAGCUCUGGGAUAACUCCGGGAAACCGGGGCUAAUACCGGAUACGACCUCCACGGGCAUCUGCGGAGGUGGAAAGUUUUUCGGCUGAGGAUGGGCCCGCGGCCUAUCAGCUAGUUGGUGGGGUAGUGGCCCACCAAGGCGACGACGGGUAGCCGGCCUGAGAGGGCGACCGGCCACACUGGGACUGAGACACGGCCCAGACUCCUACGGGAGGCAGCAGUGGGGAAUAUUGCGCAAUGGGCGAAAGCCUGACGCAGCGACGCCGCGUGAGGGACGAAGGCCUUCGGGUUGUAAACCUCUUUCAGCAGGGACGAAGCGAAAGUGACGGUACCUGCAGAAGAAGCACCGGCCAACUACGUG